AUGCUAAAGUAUCUCCUUGCGUCUCUCUCUUCUUUCUUUCUCAACAAUGCAGGCUGUGGAACUCAAGGCAAAGCACCUAUGGAUGAAGGGAAAACAGCUUCCUUGGAAAACGCUUGUAUCAGGAGUCUCCAACAGAGAGAGGGCCUGCUGUGUCAGGAUAUAAUUCAAAUCCCACCGCGCAUGGGUUUCUUGGCUUUAUUUCUUAGAACCAGGAGUCUGAUUUUGAGGAAAUCGCUAUUGAACAACCACCAAUCUACCUGGGGUACCAAGAAAGGAGAGAUGCUCUCAGAGGAAAUGGACCAUGUCCCUGGACAGAACAACCAGGCAGCAGAGGUGACUGACCUGAAAGCCCCUCCUUCGUGCUGGUGCAUUUUCCUAGCUGGCUUCCCCUGACCUGGGGGUUGUGCCCCAUCUCUCUGGUCUGAUGCACAGGUAGGAAAGGCUGGGGGUUUUUUUCAUCACAAGCACGCAGUUUGGGAUGCAGAGACGUGCCUGGUUCCUCCCCCAGAAGCUGUGAAUAACACUCUUAACAGCCCAUGCAAAUGCGGUGGUCUAUGUCUGCACGCCCAGCUGGUCCGCUGAUCAAUUUUUACUUCUCAAAUUGGGUCAGUGCAACAGGAUGGAGCUUUCCGUUCCCGUGAUCUAAAUUCUCCGUGCGAUCUAAAUUCUAUUAACACGGGGGGGAACCUGGACAUACCAAGGCAAGCCUUUGGCUUCCCUGGGACCGCCUUUCAGAAAGACCCAUUGACCUAUUUUCUUUUUAGACUUUCUUUCUUUUAAUUAAAAGGCCCCAGUUUCCUGGGUGUUCAUUGGGGAUUAGCUUGAGAAUUAAGCGGCUGUGCCUCGUGCAGAGAGAACAAGCUGGUGGAAAGGUGAGACAGGCCCCUAUUUCAUUCAGUGCUUAACCAUAUCAGGUGGGUCUUCCUGUCCAAGAAAUUGCUGUGCAACAUCCUCAUAUCUGGAAGAGGCACCAAGACAGGUGAUGGGCCUUUCUGGAUACUGGGCCCAGGUAGCAGGAUGGGCUGUGGACUUGGGGUGGUGUGGGGUGGGGUUGGGGAUGUACUGACUGGCUUCCAAGAAUUGCAUCUUCCCCUCCUCUUCCACCAAAGAGGCUCUGAUGUUUCCAGCCUGACACUGCUUUCCUACUUUCCUUUCAUCCUGGGCAAUGAGUGCCUAUUUGGGCCUGGGAGGCACAGCCUGCUUUGUGUUUCUUUCUUCCUCUUUNNNNNNNNUUUUUUUGUCUUUUUAGGGCCACACCCACGGCAUAUGGAGGUUCCCAGGCUAGGGGUCCAAUAGGAGCUACAGCUGCUGGCCUAGGCCACAGCCACAGCAACAUGGGAUCCUUAACCCACUGAGCGAGGCCAGGGAUUGAACCUGCGUCCUCUUGGAUGCU
rnacentral:lncRNA from 1 species